CCAGACUCCUACGGGAGGCAGCAGUGGGGAAUAUUGCACAAUGGGGGAAACCCUGAUGCAGCGACGCCGCGUGAGUGGAGAAGUAAUUCGUUAUGUAAAGCUCUAUCAGCAGGGAAGAAAAUGACGGUACCUGAGUAAGAAGCCCCGGCUAACUACGUGCCAGCAGCCGCGGUAAUACGUAGGGGGCAAGCGUUAUCCGGAUUCACUGGGCGUAAAGGGAGCGCAGGCGGCAUGGCAAGUCUGAUGUGAAAACCCGGGGCCCAACCCCGGGAGUGCAUUGGAAACUGCCAGGCUGGAGUGUCGGAGGGGUAAGCGGAAUUCCUAGUGGAGCGGUGAAAUGCGUAGAUAUUAGGAGGAACACCAGUGGCGAAGGCGGCUUACUGGAAGAAUACUGACGCUGAGGCUCGAAAGCGUGGGGAGCAAACAGGAUUAGAUACCCUUGUAC
rnacentral:rRNA from 1 species